GAGACAGCAGUAGCCGCGGUAAUACGAAGGGGGCUAGCGUUGCUCGGAAUUACUGGGCGUAAAGCGCGCGCAGGCGGUUCUCCAAGUCAGUGGUGAAAGCCCGGAGCUCAACUCCGGAACUGCCAUUGAAACUGUUGAACUUGAGGACGAGAGAGGUGAGUGGAAUUCCCAGUGUAGAGGUGAAAUUCGUAGAUAUUGGGAAGAACACCGGUGGCGAAGGCGGCUCACUGGCUCGUAUCUGACGCUCAGGCGCGAUAGCGUGGGGAUCAAACAGGAUUAGAUACCCCAGUAGCCCUGUCUCUUAUACA
rnacentral:rRNA from 1 species